GGGAGACCGUGGGCAGAGGUGAUACAACCUGACUGAUGAUGGCUGACAAAAAAAAAAAGAAGAAAGUAGCUGAGAACCAGCAGCUGGAGAAAGCAAGAAAAUGAGUGAAGUCACAAAUGUCACCAAGGAAAGGAAGAACAGAAAAAUAACUUGAAUAUUCAAGAUGGGCAGACUAGUUCAACGACACAUCAGGCCUUGUGAAAAGGUGACUCUGAGGUUCGGAUGCUGCCCAAGCCAACCAGAGUUUACCAGGUUCCAGGAAUGACCUUGAAUUCCAGAUCCUUCUGCCCCCAUCAUCUGAGUUCUGGGUUAUGGUUGUGUGGCUAUACCUGCCUCUCACCUGGGUCUUUGAAACAAAAGAGGGAAGAAAGAAAGAAAGAAAGAAAGAAAGAA
rnacentral:lncRNA from 1 species